GAUGAAGAACGUAUUGAAAUGCGAUAAGUAAUGUGAAUUGCAGAAUUCAGUGAAUCAUCGAAUCUUUGAACGCACAUUGCGCCCGUCAGUAUUCUGGCGGGCAUGCCUGUUCGAGCGUCAUUACGCCCCUCAAGUCCCCUGUGGACUUGGUGUUGGGGAUCGGCGAGGCUGGUUUUCCAGCACAGCCGUCCCUUAAAUUAAUUGGCGGUCUCGCCGUGGCCCUCCUCUGCGCAGUAGUAAAACACUCGCAACAGGAGCCCGGCGCGGUCCACUGCCGUAAAACCCCCCAACUUUUUAUAGUUGACCUCGAAUCAGGUAGGACUACCCGCUGAACUUAAGCAUAUCAAUAAGCGGAGGA
rnacentral:misc_RNA from 1 species